GUAGUCCACGCCCUAAACGAUGUCGACUGGUUGUUGGGGGAGGCAACUUCCUUAGUAACGAAGCUAACGCGUGAAGUCGACCGCCUGGGGAGUACGGCCGCAAGGUUAAAACUCAAAGGAAUUGACGGGGACCCGCACAAGCGGUGGAUGAUGUGGAUUAAUUCGAUGCAACGCGAAGAACCUUACCUACCCUUGACAUGUACGGAAGCUCGGUGAGAGUCGAGCGUGCCCGAAAGGGAGCCGUAACACAGGUGCUGCAUGGCUGUCGUCAGCUCGUGUCGUGAGAUGUUGGGUUAAGUCCCGCAACGAGCGCAACCCUUGUCACUAGUUGCUACGCAAGGGCACUCUAGUGAGACUGCCGGUGACAAACCGGA
rnacentral:rRNA from 1 species